rnacentral:snRNA from 1 species
AGCUUUGUGCAGCAGCAGUAUCAUAGCCAAUGAGUUUAUCUGAGGCAUGAUUAUUGCUAAAGGAAUGACAAAAUGAAUGAAUGAAUUCCACCUCCUUAGUUACAGUUAUUAAUUCAAGAAUGACCCAAUUCAUACUAAAACUUAACUUCAGAGACCCUGUUUAGAAUUAUUAGAAAUUCUUGACAGAG